UAUAGGCUGAUUGGUCCAUUGCUGAGAUGAAUGCUGAGAUUGGGGAGAGCCACACCUACCUCUACACAUCACAGACUGAUGAACAGGAAGCCAUGGCCAGGAUGCAACACAUUUUAAGUGGGGGGGUUGUAUUUUGAUUUUGAUUUAGUGCAUAUUUCAUGUUCUGUUUCAUUGAUGUGUGUAUUUAUUUAGCAUUUUGUUUACUAUUUUUAUCUUUGACAUCUUAAUACUUUGUAUUGAUAUUUUCACACCUUGUUAUGUUACAAUUACAAUUUUGUUUCUUUAAUUAAUUAUUAUAAUAAUGGUUUAUUUUUUAAUUUUGCAAAGCGCCUUGAGUGUCUUUUUAGGCAGAUUUUGGCGUUCUUGAUAAAUGCUCAAUAUUUAAUUUUUAAGCCAUUCUGGAUAAAAAAAAUGUUGGAAUUAUAGGGCUAAUUGUUCAUAAUCAUCAUUUACCUUUUUCAAGAAAUAUCUGAAAAUGAAAAUGAAAUUUCAAGAAGAUUUGGCCCUUAGGCUUAAUUCUAGUCGUCAUAAGUUUAUUAUAAACUUGGCUUGUCUAUGACUACAAUGCAGCUGCUAUACCAGAAAUAGCUCCAAUUCUUGCUGGAUGUGAAUGACUGUCUAAUGCC
rnacentral:lncRNA from 1 species